rnacentral:rRNA from 1 species
GAGUUUGAUCUUGGCUCAGAUUGAACGCUGGCGGCAUGCCUUACACAUGCAAGUCGAACGGCAGCACGGGAGCUUGCUCCUGGUGGCGAGUGGCGAACGGGUGACGUUAAUGCAUCGGAACGUAUCCUGGAGUGGGGGAUAACGUAGCGAAAGUUACGCUAAUACCGCAGUAUUCUGUGAGCAGGAAAGCGGGGGACCUUCGGGCCUCGCGCUCUUGGAGCGGCCGAUGUCGGAUUAGCUAGUUGGUGAGGUAAAGGCUCACCAAGGCGACGAUCCGUAGCAGGUCUGAGAGGAUGAUCUGCCACACUGGAACUGAGACACGGUCCAGGCUCCUACGGGAGGCAGCAGUGGGGAAUUUUUGGACAAUGGGGGCAACCCUGAUCCAGCCAUGCCGCGUGAGUGAAGAAGGCCU